rnacentral:piRNA from 1 species
UUCUAUGGUGUUCUGUCACCCGACA